rnacentral:hammerhead_ribozyme from 1 species
GUCCGGCUGACGAGUGUCAAAUGGGACGAAACACGCAUCCUGGAU